UACGAGGGGGGCAAGCGUUGUUCGGAAUUAUUGGGCGUAAAGGGUGCGUAGGCGGCUUUGUAAGUUAGAGGUGAAAGCCCGGGGCUCAACUCCGGAAUUGCCUUUAAGACUGCAUCGCUAGAAUUGUGGAGAGGUAAGUGGAAUUCCGAGUGUAGAGGUGAAAUUCGUAGAUAUUCGGAAGAACACCAGUGGCGAAGGCGACUUACUGGACACAUAUUGACGCUGAGGAGCGAAAGCGUGGGGAGCGAACAGG
rnacentral:rRNA from 1 species